UAGGGAAUAUUGGGCAAUGGGCGAAAGCCUGACCCAGCAACGCCGCGUGAGUGAAGAAGGUCCUCGGAUUGUAAAGCUCUUUGACGGGGGAAGAAACAAAUGACGGUACCCCGAAAACAAGCCACGGCUAACUACGUGCCAGCAGCCGCGGUAAUACGUAGGUGGCAAGCGUUAUCCGGAAUUACUGGGUGUAAAGGGCGUGUAGGUGGGUAGACAAGUCAGAAGUGAAAUGCCACGGCUUAACCGUGGAGUUGCUUUUGAAACUGUAUAUCUUGAGUGAUGGAGAGGUAAUUGGAAUUCCCAGUGUAGCGGUGAAAUGCGUAGAUAUUGGGAGGAACACCAGUGGCGAAGGCGGAUUACUGGACAUUAACUGACACUGAGGCGCGAAAGCGUGGGGAGCAAACA
rnacentral:rRNA from 1 species